AAAACCAGCUUACACAGCUAAACUCUCUCUCUCUCUCUCUCUCUAACCUUAGAUCAUACCUUUGUUAUACACACAUAUACAUACAUAAUAUAUAUAGAGAGAGAGAGAGAUUCUCUCUCCUACAUAUCCAAUUGCCUUAUUAUACAUAAAUAUGUGUGUAUAUAUAUAUAUAAUACCAUUAUCUCUCUUUCUCUUGUUAUAAUUAAAUUUUUAUUUUUAUUCUAUUGAUUAAUUGGAUUGUUUGAUGCAUUAGAAUUCUGGGCUUCUAAUAUUCAGUGUUUUGAUUGUGUUGUUAGGUCUCUUUUCAGAUGAAUGGUUUGAGAUUGUAUGCUUUUUAAAUGUGUGAGCUGCGUUUGUUUUCUCUUGUGUACAAACCCCAUUAAUACUAUUGGUUUCAACUUAAUCUGAUUCGUUUUGUUUCCUUUUCAUACAACACCGUAUGUCCUUGUCGUUGAAUAUACUCUAAACAACCUAUCAAAUUUUGAAUUUAAUUUAAUUCAAGGGAGAUUUACAGGUAGGUCCUGUUUCAGUAAAUAAUAGUCCAUUAAGUCCUACUUAAAAAAACUUUUUACCUGUAAGUCUCAUAACAAGUUUAAAUGACAAAACUACCUAUAACAAAUCAAAAACACAAAAUAAAAUCACAACUUUUCAUUCAUCACAGUUCAUUCGUGCCAUUUCACAUCCUUUACAGAUUUCAAUCUCACCUUCAUAUCGCCUCACAUUUCGUCUUACUUCAUCAAACUCGGCUCAGAUUCCAAAACAACAAACUAGAUCAUCAAAGAUUUUCAGAUUCGAACAACCAAAAUGGUGAAAACAAAAUUGCUAAUGCCCCAGAAUCUGCUCGAAUGGAUUGGUCCGCGUUCACCAAAGGCUACUUCUUGAAUAGAGAAACUCUGGUUGUCGUCCUACUUCUAAUUGAUGCUAGUGUACCACCUCAGAAGAUCGACCUUGACUGUGCUAAUUGGCUUUGGACGGAACAAUAUAUGCUCUUAUCUAAUUUUUAGCUACUUUCCGAUCCUCUUUCUGUCAGCAAUACUAUCAAUGGUAUGAGGCCAAAUCUUGUCCUUUCCCUCGACUUUUAUGCUUUUUUGUGCCUUUAUCUUUCAGAUACCAAUGAUUUUUGUUUUCACAAAAUGUGACAAGAUGAAGGGUAAGGGAAAAGGCCUCAUGAGAACAUCAAAAAUUUUCUAGAGCUGAUGAGAGAAAAUUUCCGGGAACAUCCUGCAUGGAUCAUGACCAGCAGUAGUAACACUGGUUUGGGCAGAGACGAGCUUCUUUUGCACUUGUCACAACUACGAAACUUUUGGGAUAACUAGUACAUCCUAGCCAAACCUUGCAACUUAUCCUCUUCUGGAAAUGGCAACUCCAAAACCUAGUGAUUUUAUGUAUUGAUUAGCCAAUUAAAUUUUUGAUAUCGAAAGUAUCCUCGAGGAAUUGCUCAAUUGCUUAAAUUUUGUGUGUUUUUUUUUUUCUUUUCUAUACUUGGGUGUAAACUCCUCUGUAUCUACAUGCUUAAUUUGUGUUAUACAUGUCUCAAAAGUAUUAUCAUCGUC